rnacentral:tRNA from 1 species
AGCAGACGAAGCUUUCCAGAAGCACCAAUCUUGUAAAUUGGAGGAAGAACUACGUUCCGUCCGCUA